rnacentral:rRNA from 1 species
UACAGAGGUCCCAAGCGUUGUUCGGAUUCAUUGGGCGUAAAGGGUGCGUAGGCGGUGGGGUAAGUUGGAUGUGAAAUCUUGAGGCUUAACCUCAAAAUUGCAUUCAAUACUGCUCCGCUCGAGUUCUGUAGAGGAGAUUGGAAUUUACGGUGUAGCAGUGAAAUGCGUAGAUAUCGUAAGGAACGCCAGUGGCGAAAGCGAAUCUCUGGGCAGCAACUGACGCUGAGGCACGAAGGCCAGGGGAGCAAACGGG